GACGAACGCUGGCGGCGUGCUUAACACAUGCAAGUCGAACGAAGAGCGAUGGAAGCUUGUUUCUAUCAAUCUUAGUGGCGAACGGGUGAGUAACGCGUAAUCAACCUGCCCUUCAGAGGGGGACAACAGUUGGAAACGACUGCUAAUACCGCAUACGAUCUAAUCUCGGCAUCGAGGAUAGAUGAAAGGUGGCCUCUACAUGUAAGCUAUCACUGAAGGAGGGGAUUGCGUCUGAUUAGCUAGUUGGAGGGGUAACGGCCCACCAAGGCGAUGAUCAGUAGCCGGUCUGAGAGGAUGAACGGCCACAUUGGGACUGAGACACGGCCCAGACUCCUACGGGAGGCAGCAGUGGGGAAUCUUCCGCAAUGGACGAAAGUCUGACGGAGCAACGCCGCGUGAGUGAUGACGGCCUUCGGGUUGUAAAGCUCUGUUAAUCGGGACGAAAGGCCUUCUUGCGAAUAGUGAGAAGGAUUGACGGUACCGGAAGAGAAAGCCACGGCUAACUACGUG
rnacentral:rRNA from 1 species